rnacentral:rRNA from 1 species
UACGAAGGUCCCGAGCGUUGUUCGGAAUCACUGGGCGUAAAGGGAGCGUAGGCGGCGCGGUAAGUCAGAUGUGAAAUCCCGGGGCUCAACCCCAGAACUGCAUUCGAUACUGCCUUGCUAGAGUGCUGGAGAGGAGAUUGGAAUUUACGGUGUAGCAGUGAAAUGCGUAGAUAUGCGGAGGAACACCGAUGGCGAAGGCAAUCCCCUGGGCCUGCACUGACGCUCAUGCACGAAAGCGUGGGGAGCAAACAGG